AUAAUAUUCCAUCCGUCUCAAAAUUCUUGUCUUAAAUUUGUUUAAAUAUAGAUGUAUCUAACACUAAAACGUAACUAGAUACAUUCGUAUUUAGACAAAUUUAAAACAAAAAUUUUGAGACGGAAGAAGUAUAGA
rfam:Triticum aestivum genome assembly, contig: Triticum_aestivum_CS42_TGACv1_scaffold_114093_2AS